AUCUAUUUCUACUCUCACGGUACGUAAUUCUUAAUAAAAGCUUUCUUUCUGGGUUUUGUUCUUUCCUUCUUUCCUUUCUGGAAAUGGCUUCCAGAUGGGAUUAUUAUUUUUUUCUUGACCAACCUUGAGUCCUUAUGCUUUACCAUUGUCUGACCCAUUAUCUCUUUUCUGAGUUUCAUUUUUGGCUUACGUACUAUGCUUUUAGUAUUUUUUUAAUACUCUGUAAUAUAUACUGAAAAUACUUGGCAGGGGUUAUGAGGCUGCAGAGUCAUCUGGUAAUGAUACCAUGCUCUGGGCUUCUCUGCCACUCAUAGUUUAUUAAAGAAAAGUCUUCCUUCACUGUAUUCCUUCUUUCUUUUUUCUUAUUUAUUUUUUAAUUUAAUUUUAUUUUUUUCCUAUCUUUUUUUUUUUUUUUUGACAGGCAGAGAUCACAAGUAGGCAGAGAGGCAGUCAGAGAGAGAGGAGAAGCAGGCUCCCCGCCGAGCAGAGAGCCCGAUGUGGGGCUCGAUCCCAGGACUCUGGGAUCAUGACCUGAGCUGAAGGCAGAGGCUUUAACCCACCGAGCCACCCAGGCGCCCCUUAUCUUUUUUUUUUUUUUUAAAGAUUUUAUUUAUUUAUUUGUUUGAGAGAGAGACACACAAUGAGAGAGGGAACACAAGCAGGGGGAGUGGGAGAGGGAGAAGCAGUUUUCCCGCCCAGCAGGUAGCCCAAUGCGGAGGGGCUCAGUUUCUGGACCCCUGGAUCAUGACCUGAGCCAAAGGCAGACUUUAACGACUGAGCCACCCAGGCACCCCUUCCUAUAAGAUUUUAUAUAGCAUUAGAUUCAUUUCAGACCUUGUAUCUAUCUUCAGUUUUUGGAGCCAGGUUAUUUAAGGUAAAUUUUUUAAAAAUGUAAACUCUGGGGGCUAAGCAGAGGAUCCAGAAUGUUUCUGCUGCCUUUGAAGGGAUCUCUCCAGUUGCUGCAAAGGUUCAGUGAGUGAAGGGUGUUUGGCUGCUGCAGUUCGAGGCUCUUUUGUCCUUGUGAUUAUUACUGUUAUUUCCUGCCUUCGUUCCCCUUGCAUCAUUUGGUCUUGACUUUCUGCAGGCUGUUGAGGGAGAUAGCAAGUACCCGGCUUGGCCCCAGUUACCAGGGCCGGCUGAGUGGACUUUGACCCGUGUUUCCAGCCUGGGAUUGGUGGGCCCUGCCUGAUGGUCAGGCACACACAGUUAGACAUUCUGGUUGGAUUUCACAGAGUUGGGAGUCAGGAGGGCAGCGGGAAAUUGAGGAAGGAUAUAAAACUAGGCAAGAGGGGCAUUCUGGAAGAAAGGACGGUUUCUCAUAGGAAGGACUAUGCAAGAACAAACAUUAAUCAGAUGAAUUAGUGCCACUUACUCUGUUUUUCACCCCUUCCUUUCAGUCAUGGUGUGAAACAUUAAAAUCCAGGCUGAUGAUGGAUUCACAUAAGCCUCAUUUAAUAUUGGGAACAUUCACCCGAGUCAGCAGUUUAAACUCUUAAGUACUUUUCCAACUCUGAGGUUCUACUUGUGCUUUAUGGACCAGAUUCUCUAAUGGCCUCUUCCUGAUGGUGGGGAUGGAGUGAGGGAAGGUACUGUUUGAAAUCACUCAGAUAAGCUGCUUGUUCCUGAGUGGCCGUAUGGGCACAGAUGUUUGGAAUCAGCUGAUAAUUUUAAACAAUCUCUAACUCAUCCUGUUAAAUACAUUUGCACAUGUUUAGUGUUUGCUUAGCUUUAACCUAAAACAUUACACAAAGUAAUUUGGUGUAUAAGAAGCAUUGCAGUAACUGGGUGCCUGGGUGGCUCAGUGGGUUAAGCCACUGCCUUCGGCUCAGGUCAUGAUCUCAGGGUCCUGGGAUCGAGUCCCGCAUCGGGCUCUCUGCUCACCAGGGAGCCUGCUUCCUCCUCUCUCUCUCUGCCUGCCUCUCUGUCUACUUGUGAUCUCUCUCUGUCAAAUAAAUAAAUAAAAUCUUAAAAAAAAAAAAAAAAGAAGCAUUGCAGCAACAAGAAUGGUUUUGAAUGGUUUUGCAUGCUUACUAUGCUGAAUCACUAUUUAACUGUUUUAAUAUUAUUUAUACACACAUGCCACACCUUCCUCACACCAUAUAUGUGUGUAUGUGUUUAUUCACACUUGUGUAUAUAUAUAUACAUAUACAUAUAGACAUAUAUACAUGAGUUCAUUCAUUCAUUUAUUUAUUUUGAAAGAUUUUGAUUAUUUAUUUGACAGAGAGAGAGAAAGCACAAGCAGGGGAAGUGGCAGGCAGAGGGAGAGAGAGAGAAGCAGACCCCCACUGAGCAGAGAGCCUGACAUGGGGCUCGAUCCCAAGACUUUGGGAUCAUGACCUGAGCUGAAGGCAGAUGGUUAACCGACUGAGCCACCCAGGUGCUCCCACAUGAAUUCAUUUAAUUCUGCCUAUGAAAGUGGUACUCCUGUUAUCAACACCAUGUUAUAGUCAGGAAACCAAGGCAUAGAUCAGCUAAGGAAUUUACCCAGCCCAGCACAGGUAGUGAGUGCCUGAGGGAGAAUUUAAAUCUCCAUCACUGUGCCACACUUUUCAUCACUACCCUGUAGUGCCUCUCAGUGCUUAGUCUUCAACCCCACGCAAAUGCUAAUUAUAGCUCAUAAGUCCAAGGUUAUUUUUCUUUUAAAGAUUUUAUUUAUUUCAGAGAAGAAAGACAAGCAGGAGGAGGGAGAGGAAGAAGCAGACUCCCUGCUGAACAGGGAGCCCCAUGUGGGGCUCAGUCCCAAGACCUGGGACCCUGGGCUCAUAACCUGAUUGGAAGGCAGACACUUAACAGACUGAGGCACCCAGGCGCUCCCAAAGUUAUUUUGUUAUGAGAAAAUCUGAAAAGUUAUAUGGUUUUAAAAAUGGAACCUGGUUUCUGUUGCUUAGCAUGUAUGGACCUUUGUUUGGAGUUUGGCUGUUUCUGAUUGUGGUCUGACUUCAGUUGUCUGGGUCUUUGUGUGGUGAAUAGUCUCUGUGACUCCCUACAGUGUGUCCUGUGUCAGUGAGCUCCUGCUGAGGGCAUCCACUGGUUGCCUACCUCUCUUCUGGGCACCUUUAUCAGCGGAUUUCCAGAAGUUCGUGAGUGGUUUUUCACCGUGGCCCUGCGGAUGACUUUGGGCCAGAAAUUUAUUUCAACCACCCAACUCUCCCUGCGAUUAAUCAUCUAGGGCUUCUGUCUUUCCUUAUUAGGUAUUGGAAAUUAAAGAAACUGACUUAGAAAUGGUUUCCACCAGGGGCCUAUUAAAUGAGACUGAUGUUUUGACAGGCAAAGUGUUGAAGAAAAAGUAAAAGGAUUUCAAGGACUAUUUCAUGUCACUGCUUUGAACAGUAUUUGACAUGUAGGGACUGGGUAUGUAUAUUAAGGAUUGGUGAAUAGAACACUCUAGGGUUAAGUCAUAGGAAAAUGUGGAGGGAGGAUUUGAUUUUGACUGUUUUGAAGGCACAUUCUGUUUAAAUGUAUAGAGCUGCACUGUUUUGGUUUGCCUGGGGAUUCAAGGUCUGAUUCCCCCAUUUAAGUAACAAAGACAUUUGUAAUUAUGAAGGAAACUUGGCAAUUCUUAAAUUUGGUGAUUGGAUUGAUUAUACUUCCUUUUCUAGGCUACUAAAUUAUCAUGACCACGAGGUAAAUUGUGGAUUAAAUGCUAUAAAUACUGUUUGUAAAUAUUUUAACAUCAUUCAUCUCUAUUCCUCUUAUCAAGACAAAUUGAUUAUUAUAAUUGACAAAGUUAUUAUCAUUUGAAUGAGAGCAGAACAGUCCUCCCAUUCAAAUAAAUGACGUGAUGGAAAGAGCAAGAAAAUAAAUUUUUCAGAUGCCCUGUUUUAGGGACUUAAAUAUUCUUGGAUCAGAAACCGUGGCGCACAACCUUAAUAUUUAUUUGGCUUUAAUGUUUGAAGUCACUUAAGAGUAUUUACCUUUCUUUUUUUCCCUUCAGCUAAACUCAGAAACAUCAUGAUUUAAAGAAAAUGAAGGAAGGCGUUAGGCAUUUCUUGCUUUCUUUUAUUUUUGUCAUACAUUAAAGAUAUAUCACAAUGUGGGCAAAAUAGA